GAAUAGAACAGCUGUCGAAUUCUAGAAUCUCCUAAAAACACAAUAUGUUUGUCUAUGAGGCAACUUUUUGCUUCACUAUUUUUAUACUUGUGCAUCAUACAACUAUGAGGCUGCCACACUUUUUCUCCAAGAAAUCUCCCACUGGACAGAAGAUACUCACACGUAUCAUCACCUCGGUAGCGGCGGGAGGCGGCGUGGCAGGCGGCGAGCAGCAGGACGGCGGCCAGCGCCAGCGCCUUGGCGCUCCUCACGCUGAAGUAGUAGUUGAUCUCCCGCUUGCCCAGGGUGUAGGCCAGGCCCGCCAUCUUGGCUCCUCCAUGACAACAGUGCGCGGCGGAGCGGACGGGCGCAGCGGGGCAGCACUGGGUCCCCGCGGGCGGCCGAGGCAGCCCCCGCCGCCGGCUGCCACCGUCCCCACCGGCGCCGCGGAGAGCAGCCCGACCCCCCUCCGCCGGGGCGGAGCUGCCGCCUUCCUCCUCCUCUUCCUUCUCCUCCUCGCUCUCCUCCUCCCAGGGCUCCCGGCCGCGGUAGGGGUGAGGUCUUCUUGGAACACUGGAAUGUGGAACACCGAAACAUCUGGUUGUCGUUUCACCACCCUCCCGUCUUUCUGUGAGCCAAAAAAGUCAUCUUCCGGGAGAUCUGCGACUCGUUGCGUCUGACUGUUUGUAUCCGAUAAUGCGUUAAAAAAUGGAAAAGAGACGUGAUGAAAACUGAAAUUAAAUAGUGAAAACAAAGCCAGGAAGCCUGCACACUGCAAACCGUAUUUUCAGGUCUUACCUGAAGGACUUCAGGCACCGUGCAGACGUACAGGAUUGGAGUUCAAAGUGUUCUUUGGGCACUGUUAGCACACACUCGGUGUUAAUGCCGUUUCCCCCAGCCCAGCCAUGUCUGCACUGCCUGCCAGCAUGGAGUCUCUAUUUUUUCCCGUCCAACUCAGUCAAACCAAAAGCUGCUGCUCGUACGGAUUCCUUUACUCCACAGAUGAAAAGCUCCUAUUCACAUGUUAUUUUUGGUUACACAGCCUUCAAAAGUUCGAGCAUUCUCAAAGCUUUCUUACAGUGAAUAAACCUUAUUAUUAGUUAAAAUAUUCUUGUUAGUGCUUAGCUUUCCUUAUCAUUGCAUCACAGAUGUUUACAUGGCAGAUGCAAGCUUUUUGCACUUUAAUAAGCAACUACUUCUUAUCUAACAGCUUCUGCAACAUGAAGUAUUCACUGCAAUGUUUGUUGUUGUAGGGUUGGUUAUUUUUUUUUCUUUUUUUUGUAGCUUUUUGCAUUGUUAUACAUGAAUGAUUCCUAACACUGCUAUGAUAUGCAUCUUUCCUGCAGUCAUUUAGGAUCUCAGAUCUUCUUCACUUGUUUUCAUAAUAUUUGUUGAUAAACAAACAGGCUUUUAGUCCAACCCAAACACACAGACUUCAGCCUGUGUCCUAAGCUGUAUUAAGUUUACUGGCUAUGCUGGAAGUGCAUUUGAGAGGCUGAGUGCUGAACUCCAACAGGUAACAAAACAAACAUAUGUUUGUUUAUAGCUAUGUCAGAGGAUUAGAAUCAUAGAAUCGUAGGAUCACGAGGUUGGAAAGGACCUAACAAAUCAUCUAGUCCAACUGUCCUCCCAUUGCCCUUGCUACCACAAUAGAAUCAUAGAAUCUCAAGUUUGGAAGGUUACAACAUGUAGGGAUAGCCACUCUGUCCCGCAGCCCUCUGAGGGCUCUUUCAGAUUGGUCCAUGGAUGCCCAGUGGCACUCCUCACUUGCCCUGAAACACUGAGCCUACUCUUAAGUGAUGCCCCA
rnacentral:lncRNA from 1 species